CUGGUUUCAUAUGGUGGUUUAGAUUUAAGUACACAAUGUCUAGCACCAUUUGAAAUCAGUGC
rnacentral:pre_miRNA from 1 species